AUUCCAGCUCCAAUAGCGUAUAUUUAAGUUGUUGCAGUUAAAAAGCUCGUAGUUGGAUUUCGGGCCCAGGUGACCGGUCCGCCGUUUCGGUGUGCACUGGUUAGCUCGGUCUUUCUGCCGGGGACACGCUCCGUCUUAAUUGCCGGACGUGGAGUCGGCGAUGUUACUUUGAAAAAAUUAGAGUGUUCAAAGCAGGCUUACGCUCUGAAUACUAUAGCAUGGAAUAACACGAUAGGACUCCGAGCCUAUUUUGUUGGUCUUCGGGACCGGAGUAAUGAUUAAGAGGGACAGUUGGGGGCAUUCGUAUUACGGUGUCAGAGGUGAAAUUCUUGGAUUUCCGUAAGACGAACUUCUGCGAAAGCAUUUGCCAAGGAUGUUUUCAUCG
rnacentral:rRNA from 1 species